GCAUUUGUAGUUUAACGGUUAAAGUAAUUGUUUUCCGAGCAAUAGAACUUAGGUUCAACUCCCGACGUAAAUGCU